CUCUACCAUUACUGCGGUUGAAUCAUACAGUGACGCACGUCUCCCUUAUGGCAAUUGCAAAGAGCAUUGACAACCCCGAAGGCCUAACAAAUAGCCAUCCACCAGAGUAAGAGCAAGCAUUCCGAGUGUGUGUCUUCUCGGUCCUUCUCCGUUCCCAGUGACUUCUAGAAACUAUGGCCAUGAUCACUAGGAACACUACCUCACGCCUUCCUAUCCUCUUCUCCCAGCAUCGCGGAGCUGCCCUCUCUCUCCAUACCAC
rnacentral:misc_RNA from 1 species